rnacentral:rRNA from 1 species
UACGAAGGGGGCUAGCGUUGCUCGGAAUCACUGGGCGUAAAGGGCGCGUAGGCGGCCGAUUAAGUCGGGGGUGAAAGCCUGUGGCUCAACCACAGAAUUGCCUUCGAUACUGGUUGGCUUGAGACCGGAAGAGGACAGCGGAACUGCGAGUGUAGAGGUGAAAUUCGUAGAUAUUCGCAAGAACACCAGUGGGCGAAAGGCGGC